rnacentral:rRNA from 1 species
ACUUACCGCUGGUGUACCAGUUGUUCUGCCAAGGGCAUUGCUGGGUAGCUAUGUAGGGACGGGAUAAACGCUGAAAGCAGCUAAGUGUGAAGCCCACCUCAAGAUGAGAUUUCCCAUUUCUUUAAGAAAGUAAGAUCCCUGAGAGAUGAGCAGGUAGAUAGGUCAGGAGUGGAAGUACAGUGAUGUAUGGAGCGGACUGAUACUAAUCGAUCGAGGACUUAACCAAU